rnacentral:rRNA from 1 species
AUGAAGGAGGAGCUUACAAUCCAUGAGGACAUGUGCACCUCCCUGGAGCUGUUCAAUUUGGCGACCAAGUGCGCUAGGGCUGAGGAAGGGCGCCUUUCCCUCCUUGAGCUGCCAGCUGCCAACCCAGAAGAGAAGAAGCCCAAGGUCAAGGACGUGAAGCACAAGGGGGCUACCGUGCUUGAAGCAGAGCCGGACACCAAGCGAGGCAGGGACCAGCCUGAAUCAUCCAAGGGCAGCCGGUACUGCGUGUACCACGACCUCCACACCCACAACACCAACGAGUGCCAAGAGCUCAGGGCCGUGCGGGACGUGCAUGCCGGCCGACGCCCCAAGCGCAGCGACUGA